GAGGAAUAUUGGACAAUGGGUGAAAGCCUGAUCCAGCCAUCCCGCGUGAAGGAUGACGGUCCUACGGAUUGUAAACUUCUUUUGUACAGGGAUAAACCUAGUCUCGUGAGACUAGCUGAAGGUACUGUACGAAUAAGCACCGGCUAACUCCGUGCCAGCAGCCGCGGUAAUACGGAGGGUGCAAGCGUUAUCCGGAUUUAUUGGGUUUAAAGGGUCCGCAGGCGGGCCGAUAAGUCAGUGGUGAAAUCUCAUAGCUUAACUAUGAAACUGCCGUUGAUACUGUCGGUCUUGAGUAAAUUAGAGGUAGCUGGAAUAAGUAGUGUAGCGGUGAAAUGCAUAGAUAUUACGUAGAAUACCAAUUGCGAAGGCAGGUUACCAUGAUUUAACUGACGCUGAGGGACGAAAGCGUGGGGAGCGAAC
rnacentral:rRNA from 1 species